AGUGAACGCUGGCGGUAGGCCUAACACAUGCAAGUCGAACGGCAGCACAGUAAGAGCUUGCUCUUACGGGUGGCGAGUGGCGGACGGGUGAGGAAUACAUCGGAAUCUACUUUUUCGUGGGGGAUAACGUAGGGAAACUUACGCUAAUACCGCAUACGACCUACGGGUGAAAGCGGGGGAACUUCGGACCUUGCGCGGUUGAAUGAGCCGAUGUCGGAUUAGCUAGUUGGCGGGGUAAAGGCCCACCCAGGCGAGGAUCCGUAGCUGGUCUGAGAGGCUGGUCAGCCACACGGGAACUGAGACACGGUCCAGAGUCCUACGGGAGGCAGCAGUGGGGAAUGUUGGACAACGGGCGCAAGCCUGGUCCAGCCAUACCGCGUGUGUGAAGAAGGCCUUCGGGUUGUAAAGCCGGUUUUCUGGGAAAGAAAAGCAGCAGGUUAAUACCCCGCGGGUGUGACGGUACUCAAAGAAUAAGCACCGGCUAACUUCGUG
rnacentral:rRNA from 1 species